rnacentral:rRNA from 1 species
UACAGAGGCCUCGAGCGUUAGGCGGAAUCACUGGGCUUAAAGCGUGUGUAGGUGGAUGCCUAAGUACCUUGUGAAAUCCCACGGCUUAACCGUGGAACUGCUGGGUAUACUGGGCGUCUUGAGCCACUCAGGGGCUACCGGAACAAACGGUGGAGCGGUGAAAUGCGUAGAUAUCCGGAGGAACACCGGUGGCGAAGGCGGCUUCCUGGGCCGAUACUGACGCUGAGGCACGAAAGCGUGGGGAGCAAACAGG